UGUUUUGUGUGAUACCUUAGUUACCUUUGAAAAGGACCCUUGUUGCUCGCUUCCCUUUUGGGAGUUGCCCCCUGAGGUUCACAACAACCACCAAGAAGUUGAGUUGGAAUUCACAUUGAAUUUCAGGGGCACGCAGUUGUGCACUGCCCUCCAAGGCCAGGUGGACCUAAUUCAGCUGUAGCACUUCUAAAGUAUGUGUAGAGUUUCUCAGUGAAGCGGCAGCCAGUAAAGGAGUAGAUAAGAGCUGCAGCAUCAACGUCAUAAAAGGAGACCAGACCCUCCUCAUAAUCUACAAACACCCCCACCUUCUCAGGCCGAGACUUCAGAGAGAGACGGACUGGAGGACCAGCAGCAGCUUUGUACUCAUUUUCAUUCCUCAGCCAUAUCUUCCUGUUGCUCAGCUCUCUGGCAGAGCCGGCAUCAGUCUGAGCUCAGCAGGGGGGCAAUUAUUUUUAAUGGGUGGGCACUAUUGAUGGGGAAUUUUUCCGGCUAUCCUAUAGGCUAGUUAUUAUCGCUACUGCCGUUUCUGUAAGUGAUUAGCCUGAAGUGAUGAGAACCAACUCCUAAACCGACUCUAUUAUAAACAGCACUUGUAGCUAGCUUACUGACAGGAGAGACGGAUCUUAAUUCUAGUUUGCUCUAGCAUUAGAGUUGACAAUACGGGACUACUCAAACCAUGUAGGCCUACCAUUUUCAAAACACUCACAACACACAGAUUAUUCUACAAUCUCAAUUAUCAAAAAGAAAUAAAACUGCUGUUUCUCCACGGCGGGAGGGAUUUUUCAGGACAAUGGACCACACACAACGGGGGGAAUUAAAUACUAAAUUUAUCGUCUUGACAGUAGGCUACAUAAUGCUUUUCUGGCACUUUGCAGUGUUCAUUGAUCAAACACGGUUAUCACCACAUCUUUUAGCUGAAUCUCAAUGAAUGAUACUUCAUGUAACAAAAUAUUAACGAGUAUAAACAUUCAAAAAAUA